AUUGAACGCUGGCGGAAUGCUUUACACAUGCAAGUCGAACGGCAGCACGGACUUCGGUCUGGUGGCGAGUGGCGAACGGGUGAGUAAUGUAUCGGAACGUGCCCAGUCGUGGGGGAUAACGUAGUGAAAAUUACGCUAAUACCGCAUACGAUCUAUGGAUGAAAGCGGGGGAUCGCAAGACCUCGCGCGAUUGGAGCGGCCGAUAUCAGAUUAGGUAGUUGGUGGGGUAAAGGCCCACCAAGCCAACGAUCUGUAGCUGGUCUGAGAGGACGACCGGCCACACUGGAACUGCGACACGGUCCAGACUCCUACGGGAGGCAGCAGUGGGGAAUUUUGGACAAUGGGCGAAAGCCUGAUCCAGCCAUUCCGCGUGCAGGAUGAAGGCCCUCGGGUUGUGAACUGCUUUUGUACAGAACGAAAAGGUUUCUACUAAUACUAGGAGCUCAUGACGGUACUGUAAGAAUAAGCACCGGCUAACUACGUGCCAGCCGCCGCCGUAA
rnacentral:rRNA from 1 species